rnacentral:rRNA from 1 species
AUUGAACGCUGGCGGCAGGCCUAACACAUGCAAGUCGAGCGCGGGGCGGACGGGUGAGUAAUGUAUGGGGACUGCCCGAUAGCGGGGGUUAAAUACUGGAAACGGUGGCUAAUACCGCAUACUAUCGGAUAACCCAUAUGGGAUGAGCUAGUAGGUGGGGUAAAGGCUCACCAAGGCAACGAUCUCUAGCUGGUAUGAGAGGAUGAUCGGCCACACUGGGACUGAGACACGGCCCAGACUCCUACGGAGGCAGCAGUGGGGAAUCUUGCGCAAUGGGCGCAAGCCUGAUGCAGCCAUGCCGCGUGUAUGAAGAAGGCCUUAGGGUUGUAAAGUACUUUCAGCAGGGAGGCGUUACCCGCAGAGGAAGCACCGGCUAACUCCGUGCCAGCAGCCGCGGUAAUAC